UAGGGGACUUCCACGUCUUCUGUGCCGCAGCUAACGCAUUAAGCGCCCCGCCUGGGGAGUACGGCCGCAAGGCUAAAACUCAAAGGAAUUGACGGGGGCCCGCACAAGCGGCGGAGCAUGUGGAUUAAUUCGAUGCAACGCGAAGAACCUUACCUGGGCUUGACAUACACCAGAUCGCUGCAGAGAUGUAGCUUCCCUUGUGGCUGGUGUACAGGUGGUGCAUGGUUGUUGUCAGCUCGUGUCGUGAGAUGUUGGGUUAAGUCCCGCAACGAGCGCAACCCUUGUCUUAUGUUGCCAUCACGUGAUGGUGGGCACUCAUGAGAGACUGCCGGGGUUAACUCGGAGGAAGGUGGGGAUGACGUCAAAUCAUCAUGCCCCUUAUGUCCAGGGCUUCACACAUGCUACAAUGGUCGGUACAGCGAGUUGCCACACCGUGAGGUGGAGCUAAUCUCUCAAAGCCGGCCUCAGUUCGGAUUGGGGUCUGCAACUCGACCCCAUGAAGUCGGAGUCGCUAGUAAUCGCAGAUCAGCAACGCUGCGGUGAAUACGUUCCCGGGCGUUGUACACACCGCCCGUAC
rnacentral:rRNA from 1 species